CUGUCAUCUGCGGACUACGAUUUGCAUUUGCAAUUUAGUAUUUUACUCAUUUUAAUUCUGUCGUCCUACUGCCUAUCCACUGUGCUGCUGUUGUGUAUUGCGCGCCGAUCGGCUCGGCCGCGGACCGCGGGCAAUGGACUCGUCUGUCGCCCUGUCGGUUCGUGGUCUCGGGUUGUUCGGUUCUCUUCCUAACUGCUGAUCGUUGGCUCUGGCGCUAAGACUGUCCGACCAUCAUCCAUCCGUCGCUUGCGUAUUCCAUAUUUGCGAUCGCGACGCGUGGCCCGCCAUCUCGAAUGUCCAUUGUCCACCGACUGACGGGUACGGCCACCGCAUCACUCAUUAGCACAGCCUGGCAGUAGCAACAUGACGCCCGGCCACCGCCUCUACGAAAAACAACUUGGUUUUUUAACACACAAAAUGUCAACGUAUCACAUAGUAACAGUAGUUUGGAUAGAUGAAAAAAUGUACAUGCAGAACAGUCUUCUUUAAUACCCUGAAUAGGGUUUUCAUAUUUGAAUCAAAUAAUUACAAUGUUAAUGUGUCAGUCCGUUGUUUUACCAAAUGAUUUGCCAAUUCAUUGUAAAAAAUUUAAGAGUUUAUAGGUCAAAAUCUUAAUACAUACAUUGUUUCAAGAUGCUACCAUCAUCCAUAUUUUAUUUGUUUUCUUUGCUAACUGUCAACAUUGAUUAUUGUUAUAUGGCGUUGCACAUAGAAACACUCAAAUGAGCACUAUAGCAAAUUAGCCUUGACGACAACUGCUCAACAGACUAUACCACAGAACACAUCAUACGCGUCUCAUCCAUCAUCGUUCGGAUACAAUUUUGUGGUAUAUAACAGGCGUAAACACCAGCCCGAAUGUCCUAGGAGAUACCAACUGGUCAAUCUUAUGUGUGUAUUGCUAAAGUAAGUAAAAAAGAAGCAAAUAUUUUACAAAUGCUGCAUUUGUUCAAUCCAUCAUUGUCUUAUGUAAUUAUUUAUAAAAUUUAUGAGUCCUGAUUAUAAGAUAAAUAAUAUUGCUACUUGAUUUCCUUUUUUAUUUUUACUAUUGUUACUAGUGAUAAUGUUUAUUUCUAGGUAAACUACUUAAUUUCUGUUUUUAAAAAUAUAUAAUAAAGAGUUAAAAUAUUGACCAAUCUAAUAUAUAUAUAUUAUAUUAAUGGAAAAAAGUAUUAAAAAUCAAUAUUAUAUUGCAUUUUUUUACAUAAUUUAGUCAAAUUAAGUAUUUCUCAUUUCUCAUUUAGUUAUUAAUUAUUAUUUAUUAUAAAUUUUAUUUUCAAAGAACACUGUGAUACUUUAUUUUAAUUAAACCCUAUUAUUAAAAUUCCAAUAUUUCCCUCACCAGUUAAGUAAGGUAAUAAACUAAACAAUACUAAGUCUCAUUAGUCAUAAAUACUAAAAAAAAAAAA